AGUCUUGAAACUGUUGCUCUUCUAACCCCACCAACCAAUGAAAAAAUCUGUUCCAACCCCUUCCAUCUUCCAACCAAUGAGGGAAGGCGACAGAAAAGGGUAUUUUUCUGGAAGGGGGUUGAGGGAAUAUUUUCUGGAAUCCUUGACCAGUUCUUAGUCAGCCAUCUCAGUGAAAGUGACGGUUUUCGUGAGGUCCCCCGUCCUACAUCACACAUUUGUGGUGAUAUUUCGUGAUAUUCUAUGAAGUAUUCUAGAGACACAUGGUUCCUGCAGAAGUUUGCCUUCAGUAAUGUCUUCAUUAACAGCCAUCGACCUAAGUUCCAUCAAGGGAGCAAUGUCAUUAUAAAGUGAAUCCUGAUUACCUAGGAAAAAUGUUGCCACUUGCCUUCCAAGAACCCAUUGUGUAAGGUCCCAAUUGUGUCUGCUUUCAUGUGAGUUAGUCAUGUGUGUUUUUUUCUAGGUCCCAUGACUGGCUUUUCUGUGAUCAUGAGCUGCUGACAUAACGUCGGUUUAUCAUAAAAGCUUCAGGUUUGUUAGAGAAUGAGUAACUAGGCCUACAAAAGUGUGUGGUAUUAUACUCUGAUCAUUUGAGGUUUGUCAGCAGAUGAUUUGAGAACGCAUGUGAUUAGGCCUAUAAAGUGUAUCAUGCUCGUUAAGUGUUGUCAGUAGAGAAUUUGAGGAAUUUUGAUUAGGCCUACAAAGGGUCUGGUAAUAUACGUACUAGACUUGUACAAUGGGAUUGUGAUCAUUUGUUGGCCUAUGCAUAGUCUUCAAUUUAUUUUCAAGUAUCUAGGAGUUUUGUCUUGUCUGUCUACCCUAAUUUUAAAGUAUCAAAUAGUCAAAAUGCCAGAAACUUGAGCACUAAGGUUAGUUUUACUGGUGAUGUGCAUAAGCUGCUGUGGUCUUCGUAUGCCUAUAACUCGCGUUUGUUUCAGUUUCGUAAGUACCUGGGAGUUGGUCGUUGGUCAUGUUUGUAUAAUGGUAUAAAAUAUCUAAAAAUUCCUAGUCAGAAUGCUAGGAACCCAAGUCUGCCCUUGUUCAGUGAGGGGAAGCCUAGUGUAGACUUGUGGCAUUCAUAAUACUUUGUGUGCUUGCAGUUGGUGUUUACUAGUGCUAAAACACUUACUUUCAAGUCGGUAUUUAACAAAGCAUUUUGAUUCAUUGUUCAAGAAAUGCUUGAGUUGCUGUUCAGUUUAGUACAGAAACUUUUUCUCAGUUUGCAGGGAAUUAUAAAUUUUUAUAUGUUCAGGAUAUAUACAUUACUUUUACAUGGUGGACAAAUCUGGCCAUGCAGUUCUUUCAGAUUUCUUAAAGAACUUUUCUAAAGAAAUUUUUUUUGGAAAUUUUGGGGUAUUUUAGAUUAGUGUAAACUCUUAGUGUUAAAUCAUGA